rnacentral:rRNA from 1 species
GGGAUUGCCUCAGUAACGGCGAGUGAAGCGGCAACAGCUCAAAUUUUAAAGCUGGCGUCUUCGACGCCCGCGUUGUAAUUUGGAGAGGCAUCUUCGGUUUGGGCGCCAGCCUAUGUUCCUUGGAACAGGACGUCACAGAGGGUGAGAAUCCCGUGCUUGGCUGGCUGUCCCUUGCCAUGUGAAGUGCCUUCGACGAGUCGAGUUGUUUGGGAAUGCAGCUCAAAAUGGGUGGUAAAUUCCAUCUAAAGCUAAAUAUUGGCGGGAGACCGAUAGCGCACAAGUAGAGUGAUCGAAAGAUGAAAAGCACUUUGAAAAUAGAGUUAAAAAGUACGUGAAAUUGUUGAAAGGGAAGCGCUUGAGACCAGACUCGGCCGGAGAUGAUCAGCCGUCCUUCUGGGCGGUGCACUUGUCUCCGGUCGGGCCAGCAUCGGUUGAGACGGCGGGAUAAAGGCCCGGGGAAUGUGGCUCCUUUCGGGGAGUGUUAUAGCCCCGGACGCAAUGCCGCCAGCCUCGACCGAGGACCGCGCUUUUUGCUAGGAUGCUGGCGUAAUGGUCUUCAGCGACCCGUCUUGAAACACGGACCAAGGAGUCUAACAUCUAUGCGAGUGUUUGGGUGUCAAACCCUUGCGCGUAAUGAAAGUGAACGGAGGUGGGAACCCCCUCGCGGGGCGCACCAUCGACCGGUCCUGAUGUCUUCGGAUGGAUCUGAGUAGGAGCAUAGCUGUUGGGACCCGAAAGAUGGUGAACUAUGCCUGAAUAGGGUGAAGCCAGAGGAAACUCUGGUGGAGGCUCGCAGCGGUUCUGACGUGCAAAUCGAUCGUCAAAUUUGGGUAUAGGGGCGAAAGACUAAUCGAACC